GGAGAGGUGGCUGAGUGGUUUAAAGCGGCGGUCUUGAAAACCGUUGUGGGGCGACCCACCGGGGGUUCGAAUCCCUCCCUCUCCGCCA
rnacentral:tRNA from 1 species